AGAGUUUGAUCCUGGCUCAGAAACGAACGCUGGCGGCGUGCCUAACACAUGCAAGUCGAACGAGAAAGUCCCUUCGGGGGCUAGUAAAGUGGCGCAAGGGUGAGUAACACGUGAAUAAUCUGCCCUCAAACCUGGGAUAACUUCGCGAAAGUGAAGCUAAUACCGGAUAAGACCACGUUUCGCAAGAAACGCGGUAAAAGGAGUCUCAAACUUCAUUUGAGGAUGAGUUCGCGGACCAUUAGCUUGUUGGCGGGAUAAAAGCCCACCAAGGCUUCGAUGGUUAGCCGGCCUGAGAGGGUGAUCGGCCACACUGGAACUGAGACACGGUCCAGACUCCUACGGGAGGCAGCAGUGGGGAAUAUUGCGCAAUGGGCGAAAGCCUGACGCAGCAACGCCGCGUGAGGGAUGAAGGCUUUAGGGUCGUAAACCUCUGUCGAAUGGGAAGAAUUAUGACGGUACCAUAAAGAAGCCCCGCUAACU
rnacentral:rRNA from 1 species